AGAGUUUGAUCAUGGCUCAGAAUGAACGCUGGCGGCGUGCUUAACACAUGCAAGUCGCACGAGAACGCUUCAGCUUGCUGAAGCUAGUAAAGUGGCGCACGGGUGAGUAACGCGUGGGUAAUCUACCUCUGAAUUGGGGAUAACAUUGCGAAAGCGAUGCUAAUACCGGAUGAUAUCCAUUAAACCUCGGUUUUUUGGAUCAAAGGUGGCCUCUACAUGUAAGCUACUGUUUGGAGACGAGCCCGCGUACCAUUAGCUUGUUGGUAAGGUAACGGCUUACCAAGGCAACGAUGGUUAGCUGGUCUGAGAGGAUGAUCAGCCACACUGGAACUGACACACGGUCCAGACUCCUACGGGAGGCAGCAGUGAGGAAUUUUGCGCAAUGGGGGAAACCCUGACGCAGCAACGCCGCGUGAGUGAUGAAGGCUUUCGGGUCGUAAAGCUCUGUCAAGUGGGAAGAACCCGCGCCGCACAAAUAGUGCGGGGCGCUGACGGUACCACUGAAGGAAGCACCGGCUAACUCCGUGCCAGCAGCCGCGGUAAUACGGGGGGGUGCAAGCGUUAUUCGGAAUCAUUGGGCGUAAAGAGCGCGUAGGCGGUCUUCUAUGUCAGGUGUGAAAGCCCGGGGCUCAACCCCGGAAGUGCACUUGAAACUGGGAGACUUGAGUAUGGGAGAGGGAAGUGGAAUUCCUGGUGUAGCGGUGAAAUGCGUAGAUAUCAGGAGGAACACCGGUGGCGAAGGCGACUUCCUGGACCAAUACUGACGCUGAGGCGCGAAGGCGUGGGGAGCAAACAGGAUUAGAUACCCUAGUAGUCC
rnacentral:rRNA from 1 species